UUAGCCAUGCAUGUGCCAGUUCAUACGAUUAAACAGUGAGACUGCGGAUGGCUCAGUAAAUCAGUUAUAAUCUGUUCGAAAGUAAACCCAUUGGAUAACCGUGGGAAAUCUAGAGCUAAUACAUGUCAUUAUGGUGCUCGACAGCAAUGUCGGGUACCGGCAUUUAUUGGACAAAACCAAAUGACGACUAGUUUACUAGAGUCCAGGGUGAUUCCAGAUAACUGACCAGAUCGCAUGGCCUUGAGCCGGCGAGGUUUCGAUUGAAUUUCUGCCCUAUCAACUCCGUGGUAAGGUAGUGGCUUACCAAGGUUGCAACGGGUAACGGGGAAUCAGGGUUCGAUUCCGGAGAGGGAGCCUGAGAAACGGCUACCACAUCCAAGGAAGGCAGCAGGCGCGUAAAUUACCCAAUCCAGACAAUGGGAGGUGGUGACCAGAAGUACCGGGUGGUUUUAAACCAAUCCUGGAAUGAGCAUAAAGUAAAAAUAUAGUCGAGUAGCAACUGGAGGGCAAGUCUGGUGCCAGCAGCCGCGGUAAUUCCAGCUCCAGUAGCAUGUCGUAAAGUUGUUGCGUUUAAAACGCUCGUAGUUGGAUGAGAUGGCAUCGUGUAGUUAACCUUGCGUCGCAGACGUUAAUCCACUGUAAAAGACGGGAUACAUACGUAUCCGUCUCUAUAGAAGGAGUCUGAGUGAUUGCGGGUUGUCAGCUGGACGGUGCUAGUUGCAUGUGAGAAUAGUGGUUGGCCUUAAGUGCGUUGGCCACUGUGUCUCACGGGAUGUGCCUUGAAUAAAUCAAAGUGCCUAAAGCAGGCUUGUGCCUGAAUGAUACAGCAUGGAACGAACAAACGUGUUAAGUAGUGUCUUGUCGGUCAUUUGUGACUGAUGGGAUGCUACAUCACCAACCACUGGUACGGAUGUUGGUUACCGUAUUAGGGUGAUGAUUAAAACGAGCGGUUGGGGGCAUUGGUAUUUGGCCGCGAGAGGUGAAAUUCUUAGACCGGUCAAGGACCAACUAAAGCGAAGGCAUUUGCCAAGACCGUCUCGAUUGAUCAAGAACGAUAGUGAAAGGUUCGAAGACGAUCAGAUACCGUCCUAGUUUUCACUGUAAACGAUGCCGACCCGGGAUCGGCUUUGAGCUAGUAGUAACGCUCCAAGUUGGUCCCCCUGGGAAACCUAAAGUGUUUGGGUUACGGGGGGAGUAUGGUCGCAAGGCUGAAACUUAAAGGAAUUGACGGAAGGGCACCACCAGGGGUGGAGCCUGCGGCUUAAUUUGACUCAACACGGGACAACUCACCGGUUCCGGACGUCAAAAGGAUAGACAGACUGAUAGAUCUUUCUUGAUAUGAUGCGUGGUGGUGCAUGGCCGUUCUUAGUUCGUGAAGUGAUUUGUCAGGUUGAUUCCGGUAACGAACGAGACCAACUUCUCCAUUUACGACACCGAAUAGUAUGUGCCGUAACAGGUACAGCUAAAAAGAAGCCAGUGAAGGGGAGGAACUUGUUCCAAACUGACUCUGUGUGACUUUUACUUCGGUGAUGUCGUUUGUGUUUCACACAGGUGACUGCAUGGAGAGACAACUGACUUUUAAAUCAGAGGAGGAUUGGCAAUAACAGGUCUGUGAUGCCCUUAGACGUACCGGGCUGCACGCGCGCUACAAUGAUGACGACAGCGAGUUAUCUGUGCAGAAAUGCAUGGGAAAUCUUCAAACCGUCAUCGUGAUGGGGAUUGCUCAUUGUAAUUUGGGCAUGAAAUAGGAAUCCCUUGUACAUGUACUUCAUUAGAGUGCAUGGAAUAGGUCCCUGCCCUUUGUACACACCGCCCGUCGCUACUACCGAGUGAAUAGUGUCAUGAUGCGUUGGGACCGGACGCUGUUGAGUUAACGCUAAAUAGCGCUGGAAUCAAUGUAAAUGGCACAUUUCCAGG
rnacentral:rRNA from 1 species